GACGAACGCUGGCGGCGUGCCUAAUACAUGCAAGUAGAACGCUGAAGAGAGGAGCUUGCUCUUCUUGGAUGAGUUGCGAACGGGUGAGUAACGCGUAGGUAACCUGCCUUGUAGCGGGGGAUAACUAUUGGAAACGAUAGCUAAUACCGCAUAACAAUGGAUGACACAUGUCAUUUAUUUGAAAGGGGCAAUUGCUCCACUACAAGAUGGACCUGCGUUGUAUUAGCUAGUAGGUGAGGUAACGGCUCACCUAGGCGACGAUACAUAGCCGACCUGAGAGGGUGAUCGGCCACACUGGGACUGAGACACGGCCCAGACUCCUACGGGAGGCAGCAGUAGGGAAUCUUCGGCAAUGGGGGCAACCCUGACCGAGCAACGCCGCGUGAGUGAAGAAGGUUUUCGGAUCGUAAAGCUCUGUUGUAAGUCAAGAACGAGUGUGAGAGUGGAAAGUUCACACUGUGACGGUAGCUUACCAGAAAGGGACGGCUAACUACGUGCCAGCAGCCGCGGUAAUACGUAGGUCCCGAGCGUUGUCCGGAUUUAUUGGGCGUAAAGCGAGCGCAGGCGGUUUGAUAAGUCUGAAGUUAAAGGCUGUGGCUCAACCAUAGUUCGCUUUGGAAACUGUCAAACUUGAGUGCAGAAGGGGAGAGUGGAAUUCCAUGUGUAGCGGUGAAAUGCGCAGAUAUAUGGAGGAACACCGGUGGCGAAAGCGGCUCUCUGGUCUGUAACUGACGCUGAGGCUCGAAAGCGUGGGGAGCGAACAGG
rnacentral:rRNA from 1 species